CCUACGGGGGGCAGCAGUGGGGAAUAUUGCGCAAUGGGCGAAAGCCUGACGCAGCGACGCCGCGUGAGGGAUGAAGGUCUUCGGAUCGUAAACCUCUGUCAGCCGGGAAGCACGGUCACUGUGCUAAUCAGCAGUGAAUUGACGGUACCUGCAAAGGAAGCACCGGCUAACUCCGUGCCAGCCGCCGCGGUAAUACGGAGGGUGCGAGCGUUGAUCGGAAUUACUGGGCGUAAAGCGGUCGUAGGCGGUAUGUCAAGUCAAGGGUGAAAGCCCCGCGCUCAACGUGGGAACUGCCUUUGAAACGGGCAAACUGGAGUGGGUGAGAGGAUAGUGGAAUUCCAGGUGUAGGAGUGAAAUCCGUAGAUAUCGGGAGGAACAUCAGUGGCGAAGGCGACUAUCUGGCACAUAACUGACGCUGAGGAGCGAAAGCGUGGGUAGCAAACAGGAUUAGAUACCCUAGUAGUC
rnacentral:rRNA from 1 species